CCUACGGGGGGCAGCAGUGAGGAAUAUUGGUCAAUGGGCGCGAGCCUGAACCAGCCAAGUCGCGUGAAGGAAGACUGCCCUAUGGGUUGUAAACUUCUUUUGUAAGGGAGUAAAGUCAGGCACGUGUGUCUGUUGGUAAGUACCUUACGAAUAAGGAUCGGCUAACUCCGUGCCAGCAGCCGCGGUAAUACGGAGGAUGCGAGCGUUAUCCGGAUUUAUUGGGUUUAAAGGGUGCGUAGGUGGGUUGUUAAGUCAGCUGUGAAAGUGUGCGGCUCAACUGCAAAAUUGCAUUUGAUACUGUGCGUCUUGAGUGGAGUUGAGGUAGGCGGAAUGCGUGGUGUAGCGGUGAAAUGCUUAGAUAUCACGAAGAACCCCGAUUGCGAAGGCAGCAUACUGCAGCGCGACUGACGCUGAUGCUCGAAAGCGUGGGUAUCGAACAGGAUUAGAUACCCCAGUAGUC
rnacentral:rRNA from 1 species